CACUGCAGAUCAGCCAGUUGAAG
rnacentral:miRNA from 1 species